AUUGAACGCUGGCGGAAUGCUUUACACAUGCAAGUCGAACGGCAGCACGGACUUCGGUCUGGUGGCGAGUGGCGAACGGGUGAGUAAUGUAUCGGAACGUGCCCAGUCGUGGGGGAUAACGUAGUGAAAAUUACGCUAAUACCGCAUACGAUCUAUGGAUGAAAGCGGGGGAUCGCAAGACCUCGCGCGAUUGGAGCGGCCGAUAUCAGAUUAGGUAGUUGGUGGGGGAAAGGCCCACCAAGCCAACGAUCUGGAGCUGGUCUGAGAGGAGGACCAGCUAGACUGGAACUAGGACACGGUCCAGACGCCUACGGGAGGCAGCAGUGGGGAAUUUUGGACAAUGGGCGAAAGCCUGAUCCAGCCAUUCCGCGUGCAGGAUGAAGGCCCUCGGGUUGUAAACUGCUUUGGUACAGAACGAAAAGGCUUCUACUAAUACUAGGAGCUCAUGACGGUACUGUAAGAAUAAGCACCGGCUAACUACGUGCCAGCCGCCGCCGUAA
rnacentral:rRNA from 1 species